rnacentral:rRNA from 1 species
UACGGAGGGUGCAAGCGUUAAUCGGAAUUACUGGGCGUAAAGCGUGCGCAGGCGGUUUUGUAAGCCAGAUGUGAAAUCCCCGGGCCUAACCUGGGAAUGGCAUUUGGGACUGCAAGGCUUGAGUGCGGCAGAGGAGACUGGAAUUCCUGGUGUAGCAGUGAAAUGCGUAGAUAUCAGGAGGAACACCGAUGGCGAAGGCAGGUCUCUGGGCUGACACUGACGCUCAUGCACGAAAGCGUGGGGAGCAAACAGG